rnacentral:rRNA from 1 species
UAAUUGAAGAGUUUGAUCAUGGCUCAGAUUGAACGCUGGCGGCAGGCCUAACACAUGCAAGUCGAACGGUAACAGGGAGCAGCUUGCUGCUCUGCUGACGAGUGGCGGACGGGUGAGUAAUGUCUGGGAAACUGCCUGAUGGAGGGGGAUAACUACUGGAAACGGUAGCUAAUACCGCAUAACGUCU